GCUCUGGUGGCCAAGUGGUUAAAGCGUACGCCUCAGACGCAGAAGGUCGCGGGUUUAAACCUCGGCCGGGUCA